UCCUCCCUGCCUGCCCGGGAUGCUGCCUUCCAGCCUGUUGGGCUCCUUUUCAAGGCAGAAGGCCAGAGCAGGAGAGAGAGAGCUGCGAGAGGAUCUCCAGGGUGCAGAUUAGAGGGAGGAGGCUGCAGCAUUCAGCUGAGCAAGGAUUACAUUGGAAUUUCCCAGGGGCUUAACAGCUGCAGAACCGGACAGAGGACGGGGCCUGGUGUCCUCUGGUGCUGACCCCACCCACACGGACCCUGCAGGGAACAGGUGGGAGAAUCAGCCCAGCACCCACUCGAGACACCAAACCACUGACCCCUGUGCCCUGAGGACGCUCCCUCUGCCCUGGACUGCAGCUGGCCUUGGCUCCUGGAUGCACUCAGCUCUGCUGAGUGCCCUCCCCUCUCUUCCCCUCUGCGCCUUUGUGCUCCUGACCUUUGCAUGAGUGGAGGCAGGGAAGCAUGAGGGUUUGAACCUGGGAGAGAAGCUUCAGGAACAUCCAGGGAUACAAGUUAUUUUACUUUUGUUGUCGAUUCUGAUCGUUCACUCUCAGCUUCUGCCACCCCUUCAUCUCUGCUUUCCUGUUACAGGGGAACAUGCUUAGGCGGUGUGGAGCUCAGAGGGUCAAGGGGGAGUGGGUGAAACAGAAGCAUGCUGUAUUUGUCUAGGUUUUAAAAACAUUUUCCUUUCUUUGUUUAGAUUUUAUUGUAUCUAAAAAUUAAGUAUGGCUAUUAAUGUAAUAGUGAGAAAAUCAAUUGAAGUUCAUGUAAGACAAAGCGUAAUUACCCCCCACCUACCAUCCUCCAUUUCUGCUUCCUACAGAAACCAAUAUUUAUUACCUCAUCAAUCUCUGUCAUACUGUUCUCAAAAUUCACUUUAUGGAUUGAGGUAUAUAAGCCCUUUUAAGCAAGCUAGAUUUGCUUAUGGGACUUCCAUAUUUAGUAUUUAAUUUGAGCUGUGUUAAUUUUUAAAUCCUUUACAGAUUUACAAAUUUAUCUUUAUCCACUCCAUUUUCACAGAGAACUGACUACAUAAGAUUCAUCAGUUUCUAAAAGCCAGAGCAAAACCCAGAUGCCUAAUUCUGUGUUUGUUUUGUGAACCAAAGGAAUGUACAAGGCUCAUGGGUGUCCUGUCUCCAGGGCAUUAGAAGUCGAAACUGACAUAUGCACAAAAGGAGCAGAGAAACAUUUGAAAUCACGGAAUGCAAUGUCUAUCAUGUGCCAAUUCCUCUAAUCAGUUUCCCAUUCGUGCAGUCAUUUUACAUCCAUAUUUCUGCUGCUUUGGGCAUUUUAUAUUUUUAAAACAUUAUGUGCAUGGGAGAUGUGAGAGUUUUCCCCCACUGAGAUCUGUCUUCAGUACUGUCUCAUGCUGGAGGUUUUUUCAACACCGGACAGCUCCUCUCCCCAGGUGAACAGAUAGAGGAAUCUCAAGCAGCCUCUGAGGAUGAGGAGAAGGAGCCUUGUGGGAGCCUCUUCCCAUGCUCGCUGUGUCCGGGAUGCUCUUGAGGAUGAGUGUCAAAGAUGGUCUGCCCCUGCAGGCAUCUUUGGAGGUCAGGUCUAAGCACUGCUUGUUUAGGAUUCCAGGCAGGUGGAGCAGUCAUGUUCCUAUCACUCAUUAUUCUACCUUCGACACUGCUUCAAGAGAAUCUGCAGUGGUAUGAAUUAGUUAAGAGCAAUUGAUUCCAUAUCUUAAAGUUUCUUUUUUCCCUAUUUUCAUUCUUCCAGUGGAGAUGCAUUCAGAUUUGUUUAAAUAGUAAAAAAUAAAAGAGUCGAAUGUAUCUUGUUUAACUUCUUAGUCUGACUCUGCAACAUUUUUCCCCUGAAAAACUGUCUGUUUAAUGUUCAGUGCUCUGUAUCUGAAUCUGAGAGGUUCUCAUCAAACAUUAAAACCCACUUCUGGUUACCUUAAGAUUGCAACCAUUUGUUUUAAAUGAAUACCUUUGUUCUUUGUAAAACUUCUAACAAUUAUUCCUAACAGUCUUCAUGCAAUGUCUCCAUUUUCUUUUCCUCUGCUUCCUCUUGAUGACAAACUGGAUGGCUUCCCAUAUUUUAUAAUUGCCUGUGCUUUUCUCUGGGUCUUUUGGAGAGUAGCUUCACGUUGUCACUGAGAUGCGUGCUAAGGCUAUGCAGGUCGGUGUAUUGUGGUCACGAGACACCGUAUGAUUUCUAUUAUGGGUCAUUAAAGCAACACCAUUGCCAUCCCUUAUUUGCCAGAAUGUUCUAUGUUGCACGACUGAUAUUAUUUGUACUGCAUAUUUUACAUGUUUUUUUUUUUACUAUCUUUCAAAUAAAAAGUUGUGUUAACCUCUUACCAAAAUAUUUAUAAUUCCUUUUGAGACAGGGUCUUCCCAUGUUGCCGUGUUACCCAGGCUCACUUCAGACUUUAAUUCUCCUGCCUCAGCCUCCCAGGAUGCAGAGAUCACAGGUGUGCAGCACCACAGGUAUCUUGAAGGCUUGAUUUUCUUACACAUCCAGCAUUACCAGAAAAAAAUUAGCUUCACAAAGUAGAAAGAGGGUUAGGAAGCCCUUUUGGAUCUCUUUUAUAAAAGCACUAAUUUCAUUUAUGAGGGAUCAGCCUUCAGCACCUAAUUACUUCCCAAAGCCGAUAUCUCCUAAUACCAUCAAGGGUGAGGAUUUCUGCAUAGGAAUUAGGGGCAGGGGCAUCGAGAUCGUACAUAACAAUUGCAUGCCACAGUUUUGUUUCUGUUUUUGUGCUUGUGCUUGCGUUACUGGGGACUGAACCCAGGACCUUCACAUUAAGCAAAAACCCCAACUCUUAUUUAGAGACCGGCUGUCCCUAAUUUGCCAAGUCAGGCUGGGCUCAAGCUUUCAAUCCUCCGACCUCAGCCCCUCGGAGCCCUGGGAUUAUAGACAUGCGCCACCAUUCCCACUCUCCACAGUUGUUUUCAUCUGUCUUCCUUCAAAUGUGAGCAAACAAGAAGCUCCUUUUCAUGUGUACAAGCCAUGCGCUUAUUCUCCUGUGAGCCAUGGGAAAGAACGAGCCCCUGGGGGAGAGAACCUUUGUCCAGAGAGUGUCUGCCGGACUGCACAGGUCUUUCCUCAUUUAUCUUUCACAGUCUUUUCGCCUGUGUGCGUUUAUAUCUGGUCCCCUCCCUUCCCUCACCUCCUCCCCCACGGCCAUCUUCCUGUGUCCCUCUCGCUCCACUGCCUCUCUGCAAGUCCAGAGUGUCCAGGGCAGCGUGGGGGGCGCGGGGAGAAUCCGCGCGUCAAUGAGGACAGAGCAGCCGCUUGUCCCUUGACUCGAAUUUGAGGAAUUUUCUGACUUCCACACAGGUGGCUGCUGGAGGAAGGAAGGAGAGUAGAUGAACAGGGAGAGCUGGAGUCUCUUCUCCCAGCAGACAGGGGAAGCAAGCGUGGCUGAAGUCUCCCAGUCUUGUGAAAGCCACAGCCCCACCUGGGAGCUGGGUGGUGGCCGGGGCAAUGGUAGCGGCCCUGAAGAUGCCCCAUGGCUACUGAGGGUGCUGCCAGGCAGAAGAUCAGAGUGGCGGGCAUGGUGUGCAGCCUGUGGGUCCUGAUCCUAGGGCCCUCGGUGCUGGCUCUGGAAGAGAUGCUGCUGGACACCACAGGAGAGACCUCUGAGACUGGCUGGCUCACCUACCCUCCAGGUGGGGUAAGUCUGAGGUAGGAUAGAAAGAUGAAGACAGCUAAAAAUAAGGAAAGUUACAAUUUUUAAAUUACAUUUUUAAUAAAAAGGUCUGUUUUGAAUUACAAGCUCAGUAAACAAUUCCUGAGGUUCUUAAAGACACACUAUAUGCUUCGCUCUUUCACUUUCCUUGUGAAUUGACUUUGGCCAUUCCUUUUCACUGAAAGUGGGUCUCGGGUAUUCUUUUUCUCUUACACAAUGGGCUUUCCCAUCUCUGGCAGUGGACAGCACCUGCUGCUGGGCCAUCAUGCUUUUCCUCUACAGAAGAGACCACAAUGUUUCUAUAGGUUGCAGUUUCUAUCCUAAAGUCCCCAUAAGUAUACACAGCCCCUGUCUAUCAUAUGAUGCUCCACUCUCUCUUGAAUGUUCAUAUCUAUUUGUUCACAUGUGUACUUUUAAAAUUCUGCUAAUAAAUCCCUUUCUGCCUCCUGCUGACCAGUUGUAUAAUGCUUUUCUUCCUUCUGAGGGGAAUCUGCCCUUAUUCUGUGGAUAGGGCAGAUUUAGGUUCUUCAUCUCUGCUUUAGGAACUGCCUAGGACCCUGUCCAGAGAUACAUGUAACAUAGGUAGUACCAGUUGGAUUAGGUGUCCAGGCGCCUCUUCUCCCCUGAACCUGGAGGGCGUUUAGGGCCACCCCACCCCACAACCUGUGUCCUAAAGCCCAAUACCCAGAGGUAGAGGUGAGUCAUGUGUACCAGAUCCUUCCCCAAGACCUGUAAUAACCUUUCUUCACUCAGAGCUCAUUAAACAUUUAUGCAUAUGGACUGCAUCUCACAAUGCAAUUAUAACAGAGUGCAUUAUGGGAAAGGACAUAUGCAGUAGACACAGCUGAUGUGACUCAGUGUCCUGUCAAUCACACUGUCAGUUACACUCUACACGACCCAAUGGGAGGCGCUCUAGACCUGAUGCAACAUUUUAAAUCGGUAAACCUAAGGCGCGUUCAGUGUUUGUGCCAUUUUUCUUUCUGUCGGCAUGAGCCCACUUAUUAAACUUCAGUGCUUUUUUCUUACC